rnacentral:rRNA from 1 species
AUUGAACGCUGGCGGCAUGCCUUACACAUGCAAGUCGAACGGCAGCACGGGUGCUUGCACCUGGUGGCGAGUGGCGAACGGGUGAGUAAUAUAUCGGAACGUACCUUAUUGUGGGGGAUAACGCAGCGAAAGCUGUGCUAAUACCGCAUAAUCCCUAAGGGGUAAAGCGGGGGACCGUAAGGCCUCGCGCAAUUAGAGCGGCCGAUACCUGAUUAGCUAGUUGGUGAGGUAAAGGCUAACCAAGGCAACGAUCAGUAGCUGGUCUGAGAGGACGAUCAGCCACACUGGGACUGAGACACGGCCCAGACUCCUACGGGAGGCAGCAGUGGGGAAUUUUGGACAAUGGGGGCAACCCUGAUCCAGCAAUGCCGCGUGAGUGAAGAAGGCCUUCGGGUUGUAAAGCUCUUUUGUCAGGGAAGAAACAGCAGCUCUAACACAGUUUGCGAAUGACGGUACCUGAAGAAUAAGCACCGGCUAACUACGUGCCAGCAGCCGCAGUAA